CCAUAGGACAGCCAGCAUUCAUGGAGAUUUUACUCCAGGGCAGACCCUGUAAUAGCUGCAGACAUGCAUUUUCUCACAUUUUUUCAUCACAAUUACUGGAUUAUCUCCAUUUCACAGGCUUCUCCUCCCUGCUUCCCUGGGUUGGGUUUCCUCUGGAGAACCAGUUUUUCUUCCACCACGUGGCUGCACUGGAGUCUCUGAAUCUGCUGUGAUGUGGGGCUGCCAAGUUGGCGAAUCGUUCAUGG